CAGGAGGUUUAAUUACUGGUACUGGUACUGGUUUAAUGACUGGUCCUACUAUGCCGGUUUCCGGGAUUACCAUUAACUGCAACGGGUAUAUAUUCGAGAAUGGAAUUUUUAUAUAUGGCUCGUUUGGCGAAACACGUCGAGCAAUUUGUUAUGCUGGGUACCAACCCAGGGCUUACUCAGGGGCGAUCUGCACGGUCAAGAACGGUAUUUAUGGUUGGUAUAUUUUGGACUCUGUCCCGGAGGAUAAGCUGUGCAUCCCAAACUCAGAAAACACCCUUCUUGGUAAAUAUCAAAUUUACAGAAAUGG